CCCAGACUCCUACGGGAGGCAGCAGUGAGGAAUAUUAGUCAAUGGGCGCAAGCCUGAACCAGCCAAGUCGCGUGAGGGAUGACGGUCCUAUGGAUUGUAAACCUCUUUUGUCGGGGAGCAAGGCCCGCCACGUGUGGCGGGAAGGAGAGUACCCGAAGAAAAAGCAUCGGCUAACUCCGUGCCAGCAGCCGCGGUAAUACGGAGGAUGCGAGCGUUAUCCGGAUUUAUUGGGUUUAAAGGGUGCGCAGGCGGAGGUGCAAGUCAGUGGUCAAAUUGCGGGGCUCAACCCCGUACUGCCGUUGAAACUGCAUCCCUUGAGUGCGCGAGAAGUAUGCGGAAUGCGUGGUGUAGCGGUGAAAUGCUUAGAUAUCACGAAGAACUCCGAUUGCGAAGGCAGCUUACUAAACUGCCACUGACAUUGAUGCUCGAAAGUGUGGGUAUCAAACAGGAUUAGAUACCCUAGUAC
rnacentral:rRNA from 1 species